AAAUUGAAGAGUUUGAUCAUGGCUCAGAUUGAACGCUGGCGGCAGGCCUAACACAUGCAAGUCGAGCGGUAGCACAGAGAGCUUGCUCUCGGGUGACGAGCGGCGGACGGGUGAGUAAUGUCUGGGAAACUGCCUGAUGGAGGGGGAUAACUACUGGAAACGGUAGCUAAUACCGCAUAACGUCGCAAGACCAAAGUGGGGGACCUUCGGGCCUCAUGCCAUCAGAUGUGCCCAGAUGGGAUUAGCUAGUAGGUGGGGUAACGGCUCACCUAGGCGACGAUCCCUAGCUGGUCUGAGAGGAUGACCAGCCACACUGGAACUGAGACACGGUCCAGACUCCUACGGGAGGCAGCAGUGGGGAAUAUUGCACAAUGGGCGCAAGCCUGAUGCAGCCAUGCCGCGUGUGUGAAGAAGGCCUUCGGGUUGUAAAGCACUUUCAGCGGGGAGGAAGGCGAUAAGGUUAAUAACCUUGUCGAUUGACGUUACCCGCAGAAGAAGCACCGGCUAACUCCGUGCCAGCAGCCGCGGUAAUACGGAGGGUGCAAGCGUUAAUCGGAAUUACUGGGCGUAAAGCGCACGCAGGCGGUCUGUCAAGUCGGA
rnacentral:rRNA from 1 species